rnacentral:rRNA from 1 species
AUUGAACGCUGGCGGCAGGCCUAACACAUGCAAGUCGAACGAGUGGCGGACGGGUGAGUAAUGUCUGGGAAACUGCCUGAUGGAGGGGGAUAACUACUGGAAACGGUAGCUAAUACCGCAUACCAUCAGAUGUGCCCAGAUGGGAUUAGGAAGUAGGUGGGGUAAUGGCUCACCUAGGCGACGAUCCCUAGCUGGGCUGAGAGGAUGACCGGCAAAACUGGACCUGAGACACGGUCCAGACUCCUACGGAAGGCAGCAGUGGGGAAUAUUGCACAAUGGGGGCAAGCCUGAUGCAGACAUGCCGCGUGUGUGAGGAAGGCCUUCGGGUUGUAAAGCACUUUCAGCGAGGAGGCGUUACUCGCAGAAGAAGCACCGGCUAACUCCGUGCCAGCAGCCGCGGUAAUAC